AAGUGCUGCUUUGUGCUGUUCUAACACAUCCCGCAGAGGAACCGUCACAUGUUCCCGGUGUUCCCCCUCCGUGCACUCCAGGCACAUGGCUGUCUCGCACGACUCGCAGUAAAACUCCAUCACCUACAGAGGGCAACAGUGAAGAGAGGCUAACCUUGCCCUCGUGAUUGGGACAGGAGAGCGGUUUCCCUGCAGCCGCUGCGCUGACCGACUCCAGUACACUGCAGGCCUCGGGUCGGGAACAUUCGGGGUCUCUCUGCAGAACCUCCAUUAGGUUUGUGAUAAAGAAGUUAUUCUGCAGUGCUGCUACACCUUUCUCUGGUAAGAUGGAGGUCUGUCGACACACGGGGCAGGAGAGCGUGAGGGAUUGAGGAGGAAUGUAGUUCUGUAAACACCUGGAAGAGCAAAAAGAUGGAGAGAUACAAAAGCACCCUUUUAACACACAACACCUAGAUACAAAAUACCACAAUCAUCUCAUCCGGUCAUCUGCACAGAGGAAAAACAUUCGUGCCAAUGACUGUUAGUGAAUACUAAGCUUACUCUUUACAGUAACCACAAUUGGUUUAAAUAACCCAAAAGGCUUAAAGUAAAAGUAUGAUUUAUAAAAAACAUUCUUUAGUACAGACCUUUCACAGAAGGUGUGUAGGCAGGGCAGGACUUUGGGGUUGUGGUAGUGAUCCAGACAAAUACUGCACACCAGGAACUGCUUGUCUAUCUGCCGGACAACUGGGCUUGUGCGGCCAGUCUCGAACUUUGCCAUGGUGACAGACAUUCACAGAGAGGGACGGGUGCCGGGACACACCUUAACCUGAAAUAAAGACAUUUACAAACAUCUUACCAUAUAG